rnacentral:rRNA from 1 species
GCUGAGGAGCGAAAGCCGUGGGUAGCCAAACAGGAUUAGAUACCCCUGGUAGUCCCACGCCGUAAACGUUGGGCACUAGGUGUGGGUCUCCAACCCAACCGAGAUCCCGUGCCCGCAGCUAACGCAUUAAGUGCCCCGCCUGGGGAGUACGGCCGCAAGGCUAAAACUCCAAAGGAAUUGACGGGGGCCCGCACAAGCGGCGGAGCAUGUUGCUUAAUUCGAGGCAACGCGAAGAACCUUACCUGGGUUUGACAUUCUGGGAAAAGCCGCAGAGAUGCGGUGUCCGUAAGGGUCCAGAACAGGUGGUGCAUGGCUGUCGUCAGCUCGUGUCGUGAGAUGUUGGGUUAAGUCCCGCAACGAGCGCAACCCUUGUCCUAUGUUGCCAGCGGGUAAUGCCGGGGACUCGUAGGAGACUGCCGGGGUCAACUCGGAGGAAGGUGGGGACGACGUCAAGUCAUCAUGCCCCUUAUGUCCAGGGCUGCAAACAUGCUACAAUGGCCGGUACAAAGGGCUGCUAGACCGCGAGAUUGAGC